UACGAAGGGUGCUAGCGUUGUUCGGAAUCACUGGGCGUAAAGCGCGCGUAGGCGGCGUUUCAAGUCAGAGGUGAAAGCCCGUGGCUCAACCACGGAAUUGCCUUUGAAACUGUAAUGCUAGAGUGUCGGAGGGGAUAGCGGAAUUGCUAAUGUAGAGGUGAAAUUCGUAGAUAUUAGCAGGAACACCGGUGGCGAAGGCGGCUAUCUGGACGACAACUGACGCUGAGGCGCGAAAGCGCGGGGAUCAAACAGGG
rnacentral:rRNA from 1 species